rnacentral:rRNA from 1 species
GAUGAACGCUGGCGGCGUGCCUAAUACAUGCAAGUCGAGCGAACGGACGAGAAGCUUGCUUCUCUGAUGUUAGCGGCGGACGGGUGAGUAACACGUGGAUAACCUACCUAUAAGACUGGGAUAACUUCGGGAAACCGGAGCUAAUACCGGAUGAUAUUUUGAACCGCAUGGUUCAAAAGUGAAAGACGGUCUUGCUGUCACUUAUAGAUGGAUCCGCGCUGCAUUAGCUAGUUGGUAAGGUAACGGCUUACCAAGGCAACGAUGCAUAGCCGACCUGAGAGGGUGAUCGGCCACACUGGAACUGAGACACGGUCCAGACUCCUACGGGAGGCAGCAGUAGGGAAUCUUCCGCAAUGGGCGAAAGCCUGACGGAGCAACGCCGCGUGAGUGAUGAAGGUCUUCGGAUCGUAAAACUCUGUUAUUAGGGAAGAACAUAUGUGUAAGUAACUGUGCACAUCUUGACGGUACCUAAUCAGAAAGCCACGGCUAACUACGUGCCAGCAGCCGCGGUAAUACGUAGGUGGGCAGCGUUAUCCGGAAUUUAUGGGCGUAAAGCGCGCGUANGCGGUUUUUUAAGUCUGAUGUGAAAGCCCACGGCUCAACCGUGGAGGGUCAUUGGAAACUGGAAAACUUGAGUGCAGAAGAGGAAAGUGGAAUUCCAUGUGUAGCGGUGAAAUGCGCAGAGAUAUGGAGGAACACCAGUGGCGAAGGCGACUUUCUGGUCUGUAACUGACGCUGAUGUGCGAAAGCGUGGGGAUCAAACAGGAUUAGAUACCCUGGUAGUCCACGCCGUAAACGAUGAGUGCUAAGUGUUAGGGGGUUUCCGCCCCUUAGUGCUGCAGCUAACGCAUUAAGCACUCCGCCUGGGGAGUACGACCGCAAGGUUGAAACUCAAAGGAAUUGACGGGGACCCGCACAAGCGGUGGAGCAUGUGGUUUAAUUCGAAGCAACGCGAAGAACCUUACCAAAUCUUGACAUCCUUUGACAACUCUAGAGAUAGAGCCUUCCCCUUCGGGGGACAAAGUGACAGGUGGUGCAUGGUUGUCGUCAGCUCGUGUCGUGAGAUGUUGGGUUAAGUCCCGCAACGAGCGCAACCCUUAAGCUUAGUUGCCAUCAUUAAGUUGGGCACUCUAAGUUGACUGCCGGUGACAAACCGGAGGAAGGUGGGGAUGACGUCAAAUCAUCAUGCCCCUUAUGAUUUGGGCUACACACGUGCUACAAUGGACAAUACAAAGGGCAGCGAAACCGCGAGGUCAAGCAAAUCCCAUAAAGUUGUUCUCAGUUCGGAUUGUAGUCUGCAACUCGACUACAUGAAGCUGGAAUCGCUAGUAAUCGUAGAUCAGCAUGCUACGGUGAAUACGUUCCCGGGUCU